AUGUUGUAUGAAAGGAGAGAAGGUCAGCACUCCCCUUCACGAGAAUGGAAAAGCCUGACAACACACAUACAGUUAAGGGUAAUAGUGCGCAAAAAGAAUAAAGUAUUGGGUCACUGAAAAAGUAGUGAUGCAUUUUU
ensembl:snRNA